UCUAAGGGCAUCAAAAGGUAAAUAAAAAACAAAAAGGUAAAUAUGGGAACUAAAUGACGAAAAGUGGAGUAUAAAUGGACUUGCCGAUGCGCACCCACCCAUCCUAUUAUACCCCUUCGUCAGUUUAGCUCCUCAAUAAUGGGAAUUCCCUAAGGCAACAAUGGCAUAAAAAAACUGCCACCUGAUGGGUAAGGUAAAGUUUUAUCAGUUCUGCUCAACCAAUUCCUAUUGGCAGACCCUAAGUUGUACAACCGGACACAAGCGCGAGGGAUCACGAAUAUUACAAACGGACAGGAGUUAAGCCAAAUUGAUUUGCAACACCAUCCAAAGAUUUAGAAAGACGCCACCUAAUCACAGGCCACUCGACAAAAUCAUAGGGAGCAUAUGGAUAGAAGCCUGGUGAAAUCCUCAGGUGCAGUUCCAAGCACGCUGGCCGGGAAGUACUGCUCCAGAUGUUGCCUACGAUCGUUUACUUUGUGCCUCCUUUCAGGUUACACCCGUAUGUCGUUGGCGUGGUACACGAGUAACCGACACCUUGCAGAAUCUCCGGCUCGUAGGCAUUGUUUCCAACCGCUUUCACGACGAAGUUGAGGCGAUACACUUCUUGGCCCGGCUUCACUAGGAACGUCCGAGCUCUCUGGUCGUACCGCUGGCGACUUCGUUCGUACGAGCUUUCAAGCCUCUUCUUUAGAUCAUAUGGCAUAGAUCACUUUCAGUUUGUCGGUCGUUCCCGUUCCUUAAAUCUAAUGGUCGCAUAUAGACUUCAAUAUUCUCGCCAACUUGUAAUGUUCGAAAAUCCUGUGAAAGGGGACUUCGCCAGUUGCCGAGUGAAUGGCGUUGAAAAUGGCCAUCACAGUUUCGGGAGAUCCCAUUCUUGAUGGUCGUCCUUUAUGAAACUCCGGGUAGCCUAUGAGCUCAUCCUCGAU